rnacentral:rRNA from 1 species
UAAGGAAUAUUGGUCAAUGGACGCAAGUCUGAACCAGCCAUGCCGCGUGAAGGAUGAAGGUCCUCUGGAUUGUAAACUUCUUUUAUCUGGGACGAAAACGGGAUUUUUAUCUCAAUUGACGGUACCAGAGGAAUAAGCACCGGCUACCUCCGUGCCAGCAGCCGCGGUAAUACGGAGGGUGCGAGCGUUAUCCGGAUUUACUGGGUUUAAAGGGUGCGUAGGUGGGCUUAUAAGUCAGUGGUGAAAUCUCCGAGCUUAACUUGGAAACUGCCGUUGAUACUAUAGGUCUUGAAUUAUCUGGAGGUAAGCGGAAUAUGUCAUGUAGCGGUGAAAUGCUUAGAUAUGACAUAGAACACCAAUUGCGAAGGCAGCUUACUACAUAUAAAUUGACGCUGAGGCACGAAAGCGUGGGGAUCAAACA